GACGAACCGAGCGAACGUUAUUCGGAAUCACUGGGCUUAAAGGGCGCGUAGGCGGGCCGUCAAGUCGAGGGUGAAAUCCCCCAGCUCAACUGGGGAAGUGCCUCCGAUACUGGCGGCCUCGAGGGGGAUGGGGGCAUGCGGAACUUCCGGUGGAGCGGUGAAAUGCGUAGAUAUCGGAAGGAACACCGGUGGCGAAAGCGGCGUGCUGGAUCCCUUCUGACGCUGAGGCGCGAAAGCCAGGGGAGCGAACGGG
rnacentral:rRNA from 1 species